UACGUAGGGGGGCUAGCGUUGUCCGGAAUCAUUGGGCGUAAAGCGCGCGUAGGCGGCCCGGUAAGUCCGCUGUAAAAGUCAAAGGCUCAACCUUUGAAUGUCAGUGGAUACUGCCGGGCUAGAGUCCGGAAGAGGCGAGUGGAACUCCUGGUGUAGCGGUGGAAUGCGCAGAUAUCAGGAGGAACACCGGUGGCGAAGGCGCCACUCUGGGCCGAAACUGACGCUGAGGAGCGAAAGCGUGGGUAGCAAACAGG
rnacentral:rRNA from 1 species